rnacentral:rRNA from 1 species
UACAGAGGUCCCAAGCGUUGUUCGGAUUCAUUGGGCGUAAAGGGUGCGUAGGCGGCGCGGUAAGUCGGGUGUGAAAUCUCGGAGCUUAACUCCGAAACUGCAUUCGAUACUGCCGUGCUUGAGGACUGGAGAGGAGACUGGAAUUUACGGUGUAGCGGUGAAAUGCGUAGAUAUUGGGAAGAACACCAGUGGCGAAGGCGGCUAUCUGGACGGUUUCUGACACUAAGACUCGAAAGCGUGGGGAGCAAACAGG